rnacentral:pre_miRNA from 1 species
CCUGUGGGUGGGGGGUAAAGUCCCUCAGCCUGGAUUGUGAGAGGGUGCAGGCCAGGCUGAGGGACCCCAUCGGUGCACC